rnacentral:ncRNA from 1 species
AUAUAAUUUAUGAAGUGGGAAGUAGUAUUUUUGAAGUUUUACAGAAAAUUUGGUGUAGAUGAGAGCCGAAGAAUGGAUUUAAUAUGAAAUAGGACCAUGGAGAUUUUAGAGUGAAAUAAUUUAGCUCUUUACGGAUAAUCGCGUUAAAGAUUUUGAGUGGAUGUCUUUAUGGCAUCAACAAGAGUGGUACCACGGAUAAAUCGUCUCUUUU